UCGUAUGAAUGAAUAAAGAAAGUAGUUUCUUGAGAUGCAAACCACUUCUGGUGAAGAUGCUGUGAA
rnacentral:pre_miRNA from 1 species